rfam:Aspergillus flavus NRRL3357 scf_1106286417850 genomic scaffold, whole genome shotgun sequence.
GUCUGGGUGGCGCAACUGGUUAGCGCGUCUGACUGUUAAUCAGGAGGUUGUGAGUUCGAGCCUCACCCUGGACG